GUGUUUUAGGUGCCAAAAUUAAUUCUAAGAAAAUUACAAAUAAAGUUCCUAUGCUAAUUUUGACAAGAAAUUAAAGUACACUAGAGUUUAUGGCAUUAGAACAUGUAAAAGAACGUCUUCUUGGAUCCUCUUGGCCAUAACUCUAUGGUUGGUCCAAAUCUACCCUUUGGUGGACUUGCAUGUGGGCUUGUGCUUGGGCCUCUUCC
rnacentral:lncRNA from 1 species